UCAAGCAGGCAUGUAUGUUUCACGUAGGUAAACGAAUGUAUUAAAUCACCCUUAAAAACAAAAUAUUAAAAUAGUAGUAUAAAUAAAAAUUUUAAUUUGGAGGUACGAUAAGCCGGUGAGCAUCGGCUUAUGAACCAUAUUUAUCUGACCUGUCAGAGAGACGAAUUCGUAUUCGUUCCGGGGCCACUUUAAUUGGAGGUUCCAUAUUGGCGACCCGUAGAGUGAGACAGACUUAGUUCGCUUCACAGGGAAAUGAAAGAGAUGGAAUGCUAAGUAGUAAGCCGGGAUGGUUACGGGUUAUCGAAGCUAUUUUCUAUUGAUGAUAGAUUUUCCCUGACACUUAUAUAAAUUUUUGGGCGUCUUUGGUACGGUAGCAUAAUUCACUCUGGUAGCCUGCAUGAUAAUAAUCGAACUUUUGCCCUACAUUUGUCACUAAGUACGUAGUGAGUGCGUUAUAUUAUGCGAAUUCUUAAAGGGAAGCCGAUUGGAAUCGGGUUACAUGGACAUUUCGCCACUGCUAUAUACUGUCCAAUAACUGAAC